AAGAAUUUUAUAGUACACGAGCAGCAGUACUGACGAGCAGUGGUGAGUGUCAGGGGUAGUUGUCCGUAUACUUUUCUAACCUUGUUUCAAAAACUUGAAGUUUACGGUGUGUGGAGUUUGAGGUUUGUAAUACUCCAUGGCUCCGAAAGGCAAAAGCGGCAAGCAUUACACUGCGGUUGAUAAAAAAAUAUUUUUAGAAAUUUUGAAAAAAUAUAAAAAUAUUGUUGAGCAAAAAAAGAGUGACGGAGGAUCUCUCCGUGAGAAAGAGUCAGCAUGGAAUGAAAUUGCUGACAAAUUCAAUGGUGUACUACAAAUCAGUGAGACGAGAACAGUGCCACAACUUAAAAAGCUGUGGUCUAACAUGAAACAGAGCCAGCGGGAUACUUUGACCCAGGAAAAGCAAGCACGUAUGGCUACUGGGGGUGGUCCGGAGAUUCCAGAGGCACAGGUAGACCCUGACAUUGCAGCAAUUGUGCCGCAUUUAAUGACUCUUGCCCCGACCGAGUUCAGUUCCAAUAUUAUUCCGGGGGAGCAAGCAAUAGCCAUGGGUAGCGUUCUGGAGAAUGACGAUGAUUCACUUUUUGAAUUUCAAGAUGUCGAAUACUUGUUAGAUGCGUCAAUUGGUAGACCACCGACAGAGCCUAUUCCAAGCUGUUCAUCAGGAAUCCCGGUGCAGACUUGCAAAAAAAUGCGUGCGGCGGCAAAGCGAAGUCGGUCAGAAUCAUCGAGCCAUUUUUCAGCGUCAAAAUCUAUAGCUCAGAAGGCGAUGGAGGAAGCUGUGACUCAGAGACUAGACGCUCUCUCAGCUGAGGACAGAGAGCUCUUUCAGAUGAAGAAAGACCGUGAGCAAAGAAUGUCAAAAUUAAUGGAAGAUAACGAAAACGAAAUUCAUCUGCUGAAAGUUCAACACCUUUUACGAAUUCAAGAACUUGAAAUCAGGAAAGCCACAGCAGAAGCAGAGUUGGCUGAAUUCAAACUUGCGCGUGAAAGGGACAACCUUUGAUCUGGAAGGUCCAAAUCGAUCGUCAUUGGAUAUCCUUUUCCAGGUGUGGAUUCCUUUAUCAAGUUCAAAAGCAGGAUCUCACCCAGUAGUAGUAUCUGGGAAAAUGGUGCCACUUCAGUCUGUUCUUGAAUAUGAGUUUGCAGGGCAAUAAGCUUCUCCGCAGGAUGAAGGAACACUUUUAUCAAGCUCGCUUUAUGGACGUUAAAUAUAUGUAUAGGUUUUCUACAAAGCGUAGAAAACUUUUAUUAUAUUACCAAAUUAUCUAUCAUAUUAAUACAAAAUUGUUUUUUUGAAAAAACUAUAUUUCAAUAAUGUUUUCCAUAUUCCAGGUAGCGUUCUGUAGAAUGACGAUGAUUCACUUUUUGAAUUUCAAGAUGUCGAAUACUUGUUAGAUGCGUCAAUUGAUAGACCACCGACAGAGCCUACUCCAAGCUGUUCAUCAGGAAUCCCGGUGCAGACUUGCAAAAAAAUGCACGUGAAAGGGACAACCUUUGAUCUUCAAAGUU
rnacentral:misc_RNA from 1 species